CCAAUAGCGUAUAUUAAAGUUGUUGCAGUUAAAAAGCUCGUAGUUGAACUUCGGGGUCUACCCAUUGGUCAGGCUUAAUUGUCUGUACUGGUGAGAUGGAUCUCUACCUUCUGAGGAACUUUCAUGCCAUUUAUUUGGUGUGAUGGGAAAUCAGGACUGUUACUUUGAAAAAAUUAGAGUGUUUAAAGCAGACUAUCGUCUGAAUACAUUAGCAUGGAAUAAUGAAAUAGGACGGACUGAUUCUAUUUCGUUGGUUUCUAGGAUCACCGUAAUGAUUAAUAGGGAUAGUUGGGGGCAUUAGUAUUCAAUUGUCAGAGGUGAAAUUCUUGGAUUUAUUGAAGACUAACUACUGCGAAAGCAUUUGCCAAGGAUGUUUUCAUUAAUCAAGAACGAAAGUUAGGGGAUCGAAGACGAUCAGAUACCGUCGUAGUCUUAACCAUAAACUAUGCCGACUAGGGAUCGGACGAAGUUAAUUUUAUAAUGACGCGUUCGGCACCUUACG
rnacentral:rRNA from 1 species